rnacentral:rRNA from 1 species
UACGUAGGUGGCAAGCGUUGUCCGGAUUUACUGGGCGUAAAGAGCGCGCAGGUGGUCGUUCAAGUCGCGUGUGAAAGCCCCCGGCUCAACUGGGGAGGGUCACGCGAUACUGAUCGACUCGAAGGCAGGAGAGGGUAGUGGAAUUCCCGGUGUAGUGGUGAAAUGCGCAGAUAUCGGGAGGAACACCGGUGGCGAAGGCGGUUCUCUGGGCCUGACCUGACGCUGAGGAGCGAAAGCGUGGGGAGCGAACAGG